UACGUAGGGCGCAAGCGUUAUCCGGAAUUAUUGGGCGUAAAGAGCUCGUAGGCGGUUUGUCGCGUCGGCCGUGAAAUCUCCACGCUUAACGUGGAGCGUGCGGUCGAUACGGGCAGACUUGAGUUCGGUAGGGGAGACUGGAAUUCCUGGUGUAGCGGUGAAAUGCGCAGAUAUCAGGAGGAACACCGGUGGCGAAGGCGGGGUCUCUGGGCCGAUGACUGACGCUGAGGAGCGAAAGCGUGGGGAGCGAACAGG
rnacentral:rRNA from 1 species